rnacentral:lncRNA from 1 species
GAAAUAACAGACAGCUGCGCCCCUUGAACAGGUUGGACCGGUCGAGUUUUAAUUUUGCUUUCAGUUUGUUCUGCGUGUUAAAAUCUAGUUUCCACUGACGAAGACACUUGAGGAUCAAGCACAGGAUGAGCCAAUAAACUUUGCGUCUCACACCAGUCUGAAGUAUUUGACAAACCCGGCCGAAUCCGCUUGAUGAAAAGAUGGCAAAACCUGCAAAUAUCAAAAGCUGUGAAGAAUUGGAACAACUUUUGAGUACAUAUGCAGAACAAAUACAGGAGCUGUGUCGUCUUUACAACACAAAUCCAAAAAGUGAAAAAGGCCAACAAAAAAUUAUAAGGACUGCGGCAGAACAAAUCCAAAAGCUCUCCGAGGAAACUGAAGAUCAGUCAUUAUAUGUCUCAUCUAUACCCACUACUUUGGAAUCAGGAAUAGAAUUGAUAAAGAGAAUAAUACAGCAACGGGACAAUGAUUCUGAUGUUGUCCAGCCGUGUCGUUCCCAGAGUACGGCCAGAGAAGGAGAUCUCAGUGAUACUGAAAGACUUGAUGUGAUUCAGCAUGAUCAACAGAUGAUGGAACUCAUUAAAUACCAAACAAAACACCACAGAGAAUCUCCUGCAGUCCUACUGAUGUUUAAUAACUUCAGAAGAGUUUGCCAUAAAAUGGGCAUUAAUACAGCAUCAAAAAGACAAUGUCAAACUUGUGCCGGU